GUUCUUGCUUCGGCAGAACAUAUACUAAAAUUGGAACGAUACAGAGAAGAUAGCAUGACAUGAUUCGAUGACAAUGUUUACAAUGACAAUGUAGACAGCAUGAUUCGAUGACAAUGUUUUGAAAUUAUGGAAAAAAUAUCUUU
rnacentral:snRNA from 1 species